rnacentral:rRNA from 1 species
GUUUGGUUAAGUUAGAAAGGGCGCACGGUGGAUGCCUUGACACUAGGAGUCGAUGAAGGACGGGACUAACGCCGAUAUGCUUCGGGGAGCUGUAAGUAAGCUUUGAUCCGAAGAUUUCCGAAUGGGGAAACCCACCAUACGUAAUGGUAUGGUAUCCUUAUCUGAAUACAUAGGGUAAGGAAGACAGACCCAGGGAACUGAAACAUCUAAGUACCUGGAGGAAGAGAAAGCAAAUGCGAUUUCCUGAGUAGCGGCGAGCGAAACGGAACAUAGCCCAAACCAAGAGGCUUGCCUCUUGGGGUUGUAGGACAUUCUAUACGGAGUUACAAAGGAACGAGGUAGACGAAGCGACCUGGAAAGGUCCGUCGUAGAGGGUAACAACCCCGUAGUCGAAACUUCGUUCUCUCUUGAAUGUAUCCUGAGUACGGCGGAACACGUGAAAUUCCGUCGGAAUCUGGGAGGACCAUCUCCCAAGGCUAAAUACUCCCUAGUGAUCGAUAGUGAACCAGUACCGUGAGGGAAAGGUGAAAAGCACCCCGGAAGGGGAGUGAAAGAGAUCCUGAAACCGUGUGCCUACAAAUAGUCAGAGCCCGUUAACGGGUGAUGGCGUGCCUUUUGUAGAAUGAACCGGCGAGUUACGAUCCCGUGCGAGGUUAAGCUGAAGAGGCGGAGCCGCAGCGAAAGCGAGUCUGAAUAGGGCGUUUAGUACGUGGUCGUAGACCCGAAACCAGGUGAUCUACCCAUGUCCAGGGUGAAGUUCAGGUAACACUGAAUGGAGGCCCGAACCCACGCACGUUGAAAAGUGCGGGGAUGAGGUGUGGGUAGCGGAGAAAUUCCAAUCGAACCUGGAGAUAGCUGGUUCUCCCCGAAAUAGCUUUAGGGCUAGCCUUAAGUGUAAGAGUCUUGGAGGUAGAGCACUGAUUGGACUAGGGGUCCUCAUCGGAUUACCGAAUUCAGUCAAACUCCGAAUGCCAAUGACUUAUCCUUAGGAGUCAGACUGCGAGUGAUAAGAUCCGUAGUCAAAAGGGAAACAGCCCAGACCGCCAGCUAAGGUCCCAAAGUGUGUAUUAAGUGGAAAAGGAUGUGGAGUUGCUUAGACAACUAGGAUGUUGGCUUAGAAGCAGCCACCAUUUAAAGAGUGCGUAAUAGCUCACUAGUCGAGUGACUCUGCGCCGAAAAUGUACC